AGCUUUGGACCUAACAUAUAACGCAUGCUCAGUAGAUAACCCUGAAAUGGACUGAAAAUCCCCUGCUAUGAUGAUUUCCAUGCGGCCUCCUUUCCUUCGGUCUUCUGGCCACUGAAGCACACUCUCCCAAGCUCCCUGAUGCAUGAGGCUGAGGGAACCAGGCAAAUGGCAGGAUUAGCUCCCUGGGGAACUGUCAUCUGGUGUCUCAGGGUUCUUAUAUUUGAAAGGCUGAAGUUCAGCUGCUGUAACAAAGACCCCCAAGUAACAGGGACUAAAACAAGGCAACGGGACACCCACUUCUGGGCAGCAGCCACCUCAGUUUUUCCAGAUGAGUGGGUGUCCAGGAAGUACCCACCGAGGCGCCUCCAGCAGAAUGAGUCACUCACUGAUAGUGGUUGCUUUUGGUGGAGAGACUCUACGAGGAAGAGACACAACAGAAUCUCCUGGGUGAUACAAAUAUUCCUCAUCUUGAUAGUGGUGUCAAUGAGUGAUGAACAAGGAGUUCUCAAGGUGAUUAUUCGCAAUUAUCAUUCCCACUUAAAUGCAUCAGGAAACAGAAUGAUUGAACAACUUGCCUAGAGUCUCAGCAUUAAUUGGUGGUAGGACUGGAAAUGGGACAUUGAGUUGGUCCCUAAAUCUCUCCUCCCUCAUGUUCGUAAGGGGCAGUAUCUGUAUAACCUUCUUGAGCAUUGUAACUGGAGGAUACAGUUACACCCAAGCAGAUGCUUGAGAGUGCAAUUGUGUAAGAAAACUAGAGAAGUGGACAAUCUAAUUCCUGGCGUAGGUGUGGGGACUUGGGGGUCAAGGUCUAAGGUCCCCGUGACCCAAGGAAGGAACUAGGACAUCGAGAGAAGCGGCUGGUAGACCAGUCAUCUUUGGAAGGGAGGCAGGUUCAAGGAUCAGCAAGAACUUGAGAACAUCGUGCUUCUGUAACAUUUAUUGAACACCUACUAUAUGCCAAGUGCUGUGAUCACAAAAGAUGGAAAAGAUCACCAUUUCCCUCAAGGAAAUAAUCGUCUUGUGGAUAAAGAAAGGAUAUGGGAACAACCCAACUUUAGCUCCAUCUGGUACCUGGCCCGGUGGAGGUCACAACUACUUCCUUUUAACAUCGACCUUUGGAGAAGCAAGAGAAUCAAAGGGAAGGAAAAGAACAUGCCCCAGAUUGCUCCAGGCCUCCUUCCUGUGUGCAGACCUGUCUCAUGGGGCUGUUCACUGAGAAGGACCUGCCCUUGGCUUAAAGCUCGGUUUUCUGCAGGCAGCCCCGGUGGCUCGGCGGUUUAGUACCACCUUCAGCCCAGGGCGUGAUCCUGGAGGCUCGGGAUCUAGUCCCACAUCAGGCUCCCUGCGUGGAGCCUGCUUCUCCCUCUGCCUGUGUC